rnacentral:rRNA from 1 species
UACGGAGGGUCCAAGCGUUAUCCGGAAUCAUUGGGUUUAAAGGGUCCGUAGGCGGUUUUGUAAGUCAGGGGUGAAAGCCCAUCGCUCAACGGUGGAACGGCCAUUGAUACUGCAAGACUUGAAUUAUUGGGAAGUAACUAGAAUAUGUAGUGUAGCGGUGAAAUGCUUAGAGAUUACAUGGAAUACCAAUUGCGAAGGCAGGUUACUACCAAUAUAUUGACGCUGAUGGACGAAAGCGUGGGGAGCGAACAGG